AAUAUUGCACAAUGGAGGGAACUCUGAUGUAGCGACGCCGCGUGAGUGAUGAAGGCUAUCGAUUCGUAAAACUCUGUCCUUGGGGACGAAAAUGACGGUACCCAAGGAGGAAGAACCGGCUAACUCCUGGCCAGCAGCCGCUGUAAUACGUAGGGGGCGAGAGUUGUCCGGAAUUACUGGGCGUAAAGGGUACGUAGGCGGCUAUAUAAGUUAGGUGUGAAAUACCAGUUCUUAACACUGGAAUUGCAUUUGAAACUGUGUAGCUUGAGUGCAGGAGAGGAAAGUGGAAUUCCUAGUGUAGCGGUGAAAUGCGUAGAGAUUAGGAGGAACACCAGUGGCGAAGGCGACUUUCUGGACUGUAACUGACGCUGAGGUACGAAAGCGUGGGUAGCGAACA
rnacentral:rRNA from 1 species